rnacentral:rRNA from 1 species
UACGUAGGGGUGCAAGCGUUGUCCGGAAUUAUUGGGCGUAAAGAGCUCGUAGGCGGUUCGUCGCGUCGGCUGUGAAAUCCCGAGGCUCAACCUCGGGUCUGCAGUCGAUACGGGCGGACUGGAGUUCGGCAGGGGAGACUGGAAUUCCUGGUGUAGCGGUGAAAUGCGCAGAUAUCAGGAGGAACACCGGUGGCGAAGGCGGGUCUCUGGGCCGAUACUGACGCUGAGGAGCGAAAGCGUGGGGAGCGAACAGG